CCUACGGGUGGCAGCAGUGAGGAAUAUUGGUCAAUGGGCUUACGCCUGAACCAGCCAAGUCGCGUGAGGGAAGACUGCCCUAUGGGUUGUAAACCUCUUUUGUCAGGGAGCAACGCCGGCUACGUGUAGCCGGACUGAGAGUACCUGAAGAAAAAGCAUCGGCUAACUCGGUGCCAGCAGCCGCGGUAAUACGGGGGAUGCGAGCGUUAUACGGAUUGAUUGGGGUUAAAGGGUGCGUAGGCGGAAUGCCAAGUCAGCGGUAAAAUCGCGGGGCUCAACCUCGGUCCGCCGUUGAAACUGGCGUUCUUGAGUGGGCGAGAAGUAUGCGGAAUGCGUGGUGUAGCGGUGAAAUGCAUAGAUAUCACGCAGAACUCCGAUUGCGAAGGCAGCAUACCGGAGCCCAACUGACGCUGAGGCACGAAAGCGUGGGGAUCGAACAGGAUUAGAUACCCUUGUAGUC
rnacentral:rRNA from 1 species